UCAGUAUUCAGUCGUCAGAGGUGAAAUUCUUGGAUUGACUGAAGACUAACUACUGCGAAAGCAUUUGCCAAGGACGUUUUCAUUAAUCAAGAACGAAAGUUAGGGGAUCGAAGAUGAUCAGAUACCGUCGUAGUCUUAACCAUAAACUAUGCCGACUAGGGAUCGGGUGGUGCUACUUUGCCCACUCGGCACCUUACGAGAAAUCAAAGUUUUUGGGUUCUGGGGGGAGUAUGGUCGCAAGGCUGAAACUUAAAGGAAUUGACGGAAGGGCACCACCAGGAGUGGAGCCUGCGGCUUAAUUUGACUCAACACGGGGAAACUCACCAGGUCCAGACGUAAUAAGGAUUGACAAGUUAGAGACUUCUCUUGAUCUUACGGGUGGUGGUGCAUGGCCGUUUUUAGUCCUUGGAGUGAUUUGUCUGCUUAAUUGCGAUAACGGACGAGACCUUAACCUGCUAAAUAGGGCUGCGAGCAUCUGCUCGGGUGCUCUUCUUAGAGGGACUAUGGGUAUCAAACCCAUGGAAGUUUGAGGCAACAACAGGUCUGUGAUGCCCUUAGACGUUCUGGGCCGCACGCGCGCUACACUGACGGAGCCAGCAA
rnacentral:rRNA from 1 species